rnacentral:rRNA from 1 species
GAUGAACGCUGACAGAAUGCUUAACACAUGCAAGUCAACUUGAACUUCGGUUUGGGUGGCGGACGGGUGAGUAACGCGUAAAGAACUUGCCUCACAGCUAGGGACAACAUUUGGAAACGAAUGCUAAUACCUGAUAUUAUGAUUAUAUGGCAUCGUAUAAUUAUGAAAGCUAUAUGCGCUGUGAGAGAGCUUUGCGUCCCAUUAGCUAGUUGGAGAGGUAACAGCUCACCAAGGCGAUGAUGGGUAGCCGGCCUGAGAGGGUGAUCGGCCACAAGGGGACUGAGACACGGCCCUUACUCCUACGGGAGGCAGCAGUGGGGAAUAUUGGACAAUGGACCGAGAGUCUGAUCCAGCAAUUCUGUGUGUACGAUGAAGUUUUUCGGAAUGUAAAGUGCUUUCAGUUGGGAAGAAAAAAAUGACGGUACCAACAGAAGAAGUGACGGCUAAAUACGUG